UACCAGACUCCUACGGGAGGCAGCAGUGGGGGAUAUUGCACAAUGGGGGAAACCCUGAUGCAGCGACGCCGCGUGGGCGAAGAAGUAUUUCGGUAUGUAAAGCCCUCUCAGCAGGGAAGAAGAAAUGACGGUACCUGAGUAAGAAGCACCGGCUAAAUACGUGCCAGCAGCCGCGGUAAUACGUAUGGUGCAAGCGUUAUCCGGAUUUACUGGGUGUAAAGGGAGCGCAGGCGGCACGGCAAGCCUGAUGUGAAAGCCCGCGGCCCAACCGCGGGACUGCAUUGGGAACUGUGUAGCUGGAGUGUCGGAGAGGCAGGCGGAAUUCCUAGUGUAGCGGUGAAAUGCGUAGAUAUUAGGAGGAACACCAGUGGCGAAGGCGGCCUGCUGGACGAUGACUGACGUUGAGGCUCGAAAGCGUGGGGAGCAAACAGGAUUAGAUACCCGUGUA
rnacentral:rRNA from 1 species